rnacentral:rRNA from 1 species
AUUGAACGCUGGCGGCAGGCCUAACACAUGCAAGUCGAGCGGAUGAGGGGAGCUUGCUCCUUGAUUCAGCGGCGGACGGGUGAGUAAUGCCUAGGAGUCUGCCUGGUAGUGGGGGAUAACGUUCCGAAAGGAACGCUAAUACCGCAUACGUCCUACGGGAGAAAGCAGGGGACCUUCGGGCCUUGCGCUAUCAGAUGAGCCUAGGUCGGAUUAGCUAGUUGGUGAGGUAAUGGCUCACCAAGGCGACGAUCCGUAACUGGUCUGAGAGGAUGAUCAGUCACACUGGAACUGAGACACGGUCCAGACUCCUACGGGAGGCAGCAGUGGGGAAUAUUGGACAAUGGGCGAAAGCCUGAUCCAGCCAUGCCGCGUGUGUGAAGAAGGUCUUCGGAUUGUAAAGCACUUUAAGUUGGGAGGAAGGGCAGUAAGUUAAUACCUUGCUGUUUUGACGUUACCAACAGAAUAAGCACCGGCUAACUUCGUGCCAGCAGCCGCCGUAA